rnacentral:rRNA from 1 species
AUUGAACGCUGGCGGCAGGCCUAACACAUGCAAGUCGAACGAGUGGCGGACGGGUGAGUAAUGUCUGGGAAACUGCCUGAUGGAGGGGGAUAACUACUGGAAACAGUAGCUAAUACCGCAUACCAUCGGAUGUACCCAUAUGGGAUUAGCUUGUAGGUGGGGUAAAGGCUAACCUAGGAGACUACACCUAGCUGGUCGGAGAGGAUGACCAGCCACACUGGAACUGAGACACGGUCCAGACUCCUACGGGAGGUAGCAGUGGGGAAUAUUGCACAAUGGGCGCAAGCCUGAUGCAGCCAUGCCGGGUGUAUGAAGAAGGCCUUCGGGUUGUAAAGUACUUUCAGCGGGGAGGCGUUACCCGCAGAAGAAGCACCGGAUAACUCCGUGCCAGCAGCCGCGGUAAUAC